GAAACUCCAGGGCUCAACCAACCCUCCUGCCUCAGUCUCCAGAGUAACUGGGAUUACAGAGAGAAGACAAGAAACUUCUAGAAGGACUAUGAAACCUUGAAGAGGAAACUGAAGGAUUUAUAGCCUUGUAGGACUGUGAGAUGGUAGAGUGCUUUUAUUGUUUUUCCCUCUGAAGGUUGAGGUUUUGGAGGAAAAGUAGUAUGUGGGAAGUGAGCAGCUGGAGACACGGGUAGGUAGAGAGCCUCCAUCUCUCCAGCUAUUCACUCGUAUCUAUAUCUAUAUCUAUAUCUGUAUGUAUAUCUAUAUCUAUAUAUAUAUCUAUCUACCUAUCCACCUAUGUAGAGAGAUGGAGAGCUAGACCUCUCCCUCUACAUACACAUAUAUAUAUACACACACACACACAUACAUACAUACACACAAACAGAUAUAUAAUCAAAGAAUGUGACUGGAUUUCUAAACCAUGGGUAUGGUGAGUCAGGAAUGUAUUUAUGUCACACAAGUGGUGAGAUAUGGACUACAUGUUAUUUGACUUCUUCAAGAGAAAUUUAUAUUGAAUAGGAUGAGCUGGAGAAAAAAAAUGCCCAGAUAAAAUUUGACAAUUUUUACUCUAGGGCAUCAGUUUUUCCUGCACCCCAUAGAAGAUGUUGUAAAAUUAUUCACAUGCCUUUCACAUUCCUGAAUUAACAUCUAAAAAUUCUAAUAUAAGUAUAAAUGGUUACAAAGGAUGUAAAUUUCUUGUGUAUUUUAAAUAAUGACAUUUAAAAAUAGAAUCAUGUCUACACAUUUAAUGUGAGUGAAAUCUACCUAAAUACCAUAAUAAUUUGAGUUCUUCAUUUGCAGUCAGGAUUUUAUAUCAUUCCUUUUUCUCUCUAAACUUACAUUUUCAUUUCCCCAUCCCCAAAGAAUUUGAUUUUAAUAUAAUAUAUUGUUAUGUUUAAAGUAUUUUGUUGAUCAACCUAUCAUAUUAUCUUCAAUAAAAUAUGUAUAUAAACUUAAUUUUUAAUUUUUAAAAAUUUUAUGGGAACAUUAUGGCAGUGCUUCUUCUGGAUUGAAUUAUAGCUAAAAUUAUUAAUCAAAUCAUAAAUAUAUCUAAAAUUAGUAUAAUUAGCAAACACAAAAGUAAAAUUUUACAGGGAAUUUGUCUCUUAUUGAAAUGAUGGUGCUCUUUUUGUUUAAUUAGUUAAUGUAGCCAUGGAUGAUUAUUAUUUUUAUCUACAAUGAGGGGCCAGUGGAAAUUAAUAGCCAAAAGAAUGGUUAGGCCAUUAUUAGGAGCUGAACAUACAAACAGUGUUGUUAAAUGCAUAACUUACAAUACCCAACUCUAACAUAAUAUCCUUUGGAAAAGCUCAUUUGCUCCUAUGUGUGCCUCAAGUUGAAGGCUGCUGUUAUGAAAUAUGUCAGAGUAACAUAAAGUGAUGGUGAAGAUCCAAUAGGCAAAAUGAGAAAGUCACUAGGUAGGGGGUCAGUAACAUCAUAGUCUCCAAAAUCUAUACACCAAUGUGCAAACAAUGGAUAAUAACAUAUAUCCAAUAGCAUAGGGUGAUAAAUAGAGCCUCAUACUGAAUACCAGGCUUAGUAAAUGAUGUGAGAUGAUGGAAAACUAUGAUGUAGUCUAAACAAACAGAGAUAUUUGAGGGAAGGCGCAGUAGGACUAUAUGUUAUACAUAUCCUACACACCUGGUCUGUGGGCGAGUGUUAAAAAUACAGAAGCCUGGGCUGUAUGACCUAAUUAAUCAGGUUCUCAGAGGAUAAGUCUAAGAAUAUGUUUUACAAUAAUUCCAGGCUUCAGGUCUGUCAUAUUUGAGAACAACUUAGUACAUGGAAAAGAGAACUCAAUAAUUUCAAAGGAAAAAUUAGCCAUGAAGCCUUUAAAAGUGAAGAUAAAUCAAGAUGGUUGAAAAGGUUUUAAAACAGUCUCAUGAUGCAAAUAUAAAAUAUUCCAAUGAACCAGAAAAGGCGGAGUUCUCAAAAGCAGUGCUGUUACAUAGAAAUAUAAUGUGAGCCACAUAUGUAACUCUAAAUUUACUUGUAGUCACAUUUCAAAAAGUUAGAGGAAACAAAUGAAAUUUAUUCUAAUGGCAUAAUUAUUAAACCAAUAUUUUCAAAAUAUUGUUAUUUCAACAUGUAAUAAAUAUAAAAAUUAUUUUAAAAUAUUUUGCCUUCUUUUUUAAAAUGAACUCUUGAACAUCUGGUAUAUAUUUUGCACUUUGCAGUACUUUUCAAUUCAGAAUAGCCACAUUUUAAGUAUUCAAGAACCGCCUGCAACUGGACAGCACAGAUUUAAAGAAAAUAGAUGACAAUAGAAGGGACUCUCUGAAGUUCAGAUGUAAAAACAAGAAACGUGUAUAAAAUGUAGUAAAAAGAAUACUGUACUUUAAGAUACUUUUGGCAGCAAGUAAAAGCUUCAAACCCCAAACCUCAAAAAAGCUUAAAGGGGAAAGCCAGUAGCAUUCAUCGCAGGAAGUCCUGAAGUAGGGCAGACUCAAUCAUGUCAUCAAAGACCAGGUUCUUUUCAUGUUUUUAUUCUGCCAUCUGGGUGUUGCCUUUAUCCCAAGGCCGGUAACACAAUGGCAGCAGUAGUCCCAGACGUCACAUCUUGAUAUAACAGCAUUCAGAAGUAGAAGAAAGAGAGCAUCUCUUUUUGUGUGUCUCUCCCAGUAGUGAUAAAACUUUGCAAAGACUGCUUCCAAUAGGAUUUCUUUCAUAUCUCAUUAACUGGAGUUGAGUUAAAUGCCAUUUCUUAGCCAAUCACCAUCAAGAAGUGGACAUGGCGAGUUAUAAUUUUGGUUAGGUAAGAUGAAGUAGCCGUUCUCCGACCUGUCUUUCCCAUUGAAUGCAGUAGUAAAACCAGGACAAAACACAUAGGACAAAAUGCAAAUAUCUACUUGAGGACUCUUAAAAGUGAAUAGUACCAGGCAGAUUGGGAAAGGAAAUGGGAUUCAAAUCACCUCUGACCAGCAGUGAGUUAUCAUUUUUUGCCCUCCAGUUUUUCACUGCCUGAUCUCAAGGCAACCCAAAAGCCAGAUGUGAACACUGAUGUGGGUGGAGAGAUCUCAAGAAGCAGCCCACUACUUCCCGCUCAAGAAGCAGGAGAGUCUACUGGCAGCAACAGUCAUGGCAGCAGGAGCCUACAGCACCCAAAACAGAAGACUUGUACAAAAUAUAGAAAAAAGAAUACUGUACCCUAAGAUAUUUCUGGCAUAAAUUUCUUCUCUGAGCAGAGGAGCUGUGGCCCCAAGAGGGUAGCAAGAAUCCCCACUAAUUUUUUCUCUCUCUAGCCUCUUGAGGCUUGACUGUGGAGUUGGAAAUGUGGCAGAGCAGGGUAAAUAAAGCCCCAGCUUUCCAACCACAAAAAGGGAAUGCAGGGAACUAUCAAUUUCUGGGGAGACAGUGGAGAAGAAGGAGCUCAAAAAGCAACUUUGAUAACCAAAUUCAAAGAAAUUCUUCAUGACCCAAGAUUAUGCAAAGUUGUCUUAGGUAUGACACCAUACAGAUAAUCUAUUUAAAAAUUGAUGAACAUUAUCUUUUUUAAAAAAUUGUUCUAUGAAAGACAUUGAAAUAUAAUGAUGAAAUAAUGUAUAGAUUGGUGAAAGUCUAUUUAAAAUAUAUAUCUGACAAAGAAUUUGUAUCCAGAACAUAUAAAGAACUGUUAUAACUCAAUAAUAAAAUAACUCAAUUAAAAAUGGGCAAAAGACUUGAACUUCAUCACAAUGGACAUAUGUAAAUCAACUAAGUGCAUCAAAUAUGUUCAACAUCGUUAGCCACUGGGGUAAUGGAAAUUAAAACCAUGACAAGAGACCAGUACAUACCUAUGAUAAUGACUACGUUAAAAUAAAAAAAAAACCAAUGUAAAGACUGAUGAUGAUACCAUAAGCAGGUGAACAUGCAGAGCAGCAGGUACUCUUGUAAAUUGCUGAUGGCAACAAAAACUGACUCAGCCACUCUGGAAGACUGUUUGGCAGCUUCUUAUGAAGUUAAAUAUACACUUACUAUAUGGCCAUUAAUCCUACUCCUGAGUGUUUGCCCUAGGAAAAUGUUCAUACAAAAACUCACACACAAACGUUUACUACAGCUCUAUUCCUGAUUCCCCAAAUUAGAUACAACUGAAAUGUCUUUCAAUAUGUAAAUGAAUAAAUAACAAAUGGAUAAACAAA